rnacentral:rRNA from 1 species
AGAGUUUGAUCCUGGCUCAGAACGAACGCUGGCGGCGUGCCUAACACAUGCAAGUCGAGCGGAGACAGUGAGUAGCUUGCUAUGAGCUGUUUUAGCGGCGGACGGGUGAGUAACGCGUGAGCAACCUUUCCCAGACAGGGGAAUAACACACCGAAAGGUGUACUAAUACCGCAUAAGACCACGGGAUCACAUGGUUCUGAGGUAAAAGAUUUAUCGCUUUGAGAGGGGUUCGCGUCCCAUUAGGUAGUUGGAGGGGUAACGGCCCACCAAGCCAACGAUGGGUAGCCGAGCUGAGAGGCUGAUCGGCCACACUGGAACUGAGACACGGUCCAGACUCCUACGGGAGGCAGCAGUAGGGAAUAUUGGGCAAUGGGCGCAAGCCUGACCCAGCAACGCCGCGUGAGGGAAGAAGGUUUUCGGAUUGUAAACCUCUGUCCUAUGUGACGAAGGAAGUGACGGUAGCAUAGGAGGAAGCCCCGGCUAACUACGUGCCAGCAGCCGCGGUAAUACGUAGGGGGCGAGCGUUGUCCGGAAUUACUGGGCGUAAAGGGUGCGUAGGCGGUUUGGUAAGUUGGAUGUGAAAUACCCGGGCUUAACUUGGGGGCUGCAUCCAAUACUGUCGGACUUGAGUGCAGGAGAGGAAAGCGGAAUUCCUAGUGUAGCGGUGAAAUGCGUAGAUAUUAGGAGGAACACCGGUGGCGAAGGCGGCCUACUGGGCACCAACUGACGCUGAGGCUCGAAAGUGUGGGUAGCAAACAGGAUUAGAUACCCUGGUAGUCCACACCGUAAACGAUGAUUACUAGGUGUUGGAGGAUUGACCCCUUCAGUGCCGCAGUUAACACAAUAAGUAAUCCACCUGGGGAGUACGACCGCAAGGUUGAAACUCAAAGGAAUUGACGGGGGCCCGCACAAGCAGUGGAGUAUGUGGUUUAAUUCGACGCAACGCGAAGAACCUUACCAAGUCUUGACAUCCCUUGACAGACAUAGAAAUAUGUUUUCUCUUCGGAGCAAGAAGACAGGUGGUGCAUGGUUGUCGUCAGCUCGUGUCGUGAGAUGUUGGGUUAAGUCCCGCAACGAGCGCAACCCUUAUGGUCAGUUACUACGCAAGAGGACUCUGGCCAGACUGCCGUUGACAAAACGGAGGAAGGUGGGGAUGACGUCAAAUCAUCAUGCCCUUUAUGACUUGGGCUACACACGUACUACAAUGGCGUUAAACAAAGAGAAGCAAGACCGCGAGGUGGAGCAAAACUCAGAAACAACGUCCCAGUUCGGACUGCAGGCUGCAACUCGCCUGCACGAAGUCGGAAUUGCUAGUAAUCGCAGAUCAGCAUGCUGCGGUGAAUACGUUCCCGGGCCUUGUACACACCGCCCGUCA